UACGGAGGGUGCGAGCGUUAAUCGGAAUUACUGGGCGUAAAGGGCGCGUAGGUGGUUUGAUAAGUCGGAUGUGAAAGCCCCGGGCUUAACCUGGGAAUUGCAUUCGAUACUGUCAGGCUAGAGUAUGGGAGAGGGAAGCGGAAUUCCCGGUGUAGCGGUGAAAUGCGUAGAUAUCGGGAGGAACAUCAGUGGCGAAGGCGGCUUCCUGGACCGAUACUGACACUGAGGCGCGAAAGCGUGGGGAGCAAACAGG
rnacentral:rRNA from 1 species